GACGGGGGAUGCAAGCGUUAUCCGGCCUCACUGGGCGUAAAGCGUCUGUAGGUGGUGAUGCAAGUCACUGGUGCAAAACUCUGGCUCAACCGGAGGAAAGCCAGUGAAACUGCAUGACUAGAGUGUGGGAGAGGUAGAAGGAAUUCCCUAAGUAGCGGUGAAAUGCGUAGAGACAGGGAAGAACACCGGAGGCGAAAGCGUUCUACUGGAACACAACUGACACUGAGCGACGAAAGCUAGGCGAGCGAAUGGG
rnacentral:rRNA from 1 species